rnacentral:lncRNA from 1 species
UAUAUAUAUAUAUAUAUAUAGCUAGGGCUACUAUACUUAUAUGAGUAUAGAGCCCUUUGUACUCAUAAAUUUUCAGCUGUUCAGAUGAAAAAAUAUACGGUUAGGAUGAAAGUGGUUACGGUUAGGUUGAUAGUGGGCCUCCUAGGGUUGAGUGGGUGAUUGGUUGAAUAGUAUAAUCUAACGGGUGAAAAUGAUUAAAGGGUAGAUCUAACGGUGAAAAACUUAUGAGUACAAGAGGCUCUAUACUCAUAAGAGUAUAGUAGCCGGACUCAUAUAUAUAUAUAUAUUAUCUAUUACGCAAGAAAAUAAUUCCUAAUUAUUAUUUUAAGUAUUAUAUGUCAUAUCUAUAAUUUAAAUUUAAAUUGAAAUUUUAGAAAUAGUUACAUAUGUAUCCCGCAAAAUAUCUGAAAUAUUUUAUAUAUCUCUUUUUUUUUUGUUUCAAAUAUGUCCCUUCUAUAUUUCUCCGUUAUUAAAAAAUAUUCCAUUGGUAGUACCCAUUAAGUUAUCUCGGGUUAAAUAUGGUUAAAUUUCUACUAGAAUUAAAAAUAAGUUAAAAUACUAACGUAAUGGCAAAUAAGAAAGUUAUUUACUGAUAAUAUAGAAUAUAUCUGAAAAGGCAAAAUGUCAAAAUACAUAUCUUCUCCCCAACUUAAGGGUAAAAGAAAAAAAUGGUGAUGAAAGAAUAGUAUAUUUAAAAUAGCAAAAGAGUAAAACUUGAGCAAGAAAUGCUACAUUUCACAUCCUAAAGUGGGGUGCACAUUUUAUACCCACUCCAUCUUAAGAUCAUUUUUGUCACAUCAAUUUACAUUUUACACCCGCUCCAUCCUGAGAUCAUUUUUGUGACAUCAAUAUUUUUUAAUUUUACUAAAAAUUAAUUUAAUUUUUAUCAAUUCAAGAAUUACGGAUAUAAGAUGUACACCUUUUUUUUGAAGUGUACAAAAAACAUUUUUCAAAUUGAAUAAUAAAAUUUUUUUUUUAUAUUAACUUUCUACGCAGAGUAAAUAAAAAUGUCUGAAACUUUUUAGAAAUAUAUAAAUAAUUGCGCAUAAAUUUUAACACUUCUGCGAACAAC